GCCUUCGUGGUGUAGUGGUCAGCACGCUCGACGCGUAACCGAGAGGUCCGCGGUUCGAUUCCCGGGCAAGGCG
rnacentral:tRNA from 1 species